rnacentral:rRNA from 1 species
UACGUAGGGUGCAAGCGUUGUCCGGAAUUAUUGGGCGUAAAGAGCUCGUAGGCGGUUUGUCGCGUCUGCUGUGAAAACCCGAGGCUCAACCUCGGGCCUGCAGUGGGUACGGGCAGACUAGAGUGUGGUAGGGGAGAGUGGAAUUCCUGGUGUAGCGGUGGAAUGCGCAGAUAUCAGGAGGAACACCUAUGGCGAAGGCAGCUCUCUGGUACGUGACUGACGCUGAGACGCGAAAGCGUGGGGAGCAAACAGG